rnacentral:rRNA from 1 species
GAUGAACGCUGGCGGCGUGCCUAAUACAUGCAAGUCGAACGAACAGACGUGGAGCCUUCCCUUUUUCCGUCUGCGGCGCACAGGGGAGUAAAACGCGGAUAACACACCUAUAAGACUGGGAUAAAACAGGGAAACAGGAGUGAUAAUAGGACAAUCUAUUGAACCGCAUGGUUCAAUAGUGAAAGAAGGUUGCGCUGACAUGUAUGCUAGGAUCCGCGCCGGAUUAGCUAGUUGGUAAGGUAACGGCUUACCAAGGCGACGAUGAGUAGCCGACCUGAGAGGGUGAACGGCCACACUGGAACUGAGACACGGUCCAGACUCCUACGGGAGGCAGCAGUAGGGAAUCUUCCGCAAUGGGCGAAAGCCUGACGGAGCAACGCCGCGUGAGUGAUGACGGUCUUCGGAUCGUAAAACUCUGUUAUUAGGGAAGAACAGCUUUGUAAGUAACUAUGCGCAUCUUGACGGUACCCAAUCAAAAAGCCACGGCUAACUUCGUU